GGAUUUCGCUUUCUCGGCUCCCCGGACAGAGCUGCUCUGCCCCCGCCGCGCCCGCUGAGCCGGAGCUGUGGGACCCCCCGCCUCCCCACGGCGCGCUCUAGGGAGACCCGGGAGAAAUGUCUUCCCGCCCCGUUGAAAAAUGAAAAUGCUCAAAACAUCAUUGUGCUCAAAACAUCACCACACUCCGAUCCUGGACGCUGCUUCUGACCCACCUUCUCAUUUAUUUUUCAAUUAAAGUGAAUGAAGAACACAGCACCACAGAGUCUGGGAAAAAUGCUUAUCUGAUACACUAGAGAUGGAAAAAUCAUAGCCCUAUACUGUAUGGUGGUCUACAUCACCAUUCCACAGAAAAUGAAUGCUUUUCAAAUGUUUAAGUUAUUCUCAGCUGUUAGCAAAUAAAAAGAUUUCUCAAUCUUGGCA